GACAGAGGGUGCAAACGUUGUUCGGAAUUACUGGGCGUAAAGCGUGUGUAGGCGGUCCGCUAAGUCGGGUGUGAAAGCCCUGGGCUCAAUCCAGGAAGUGCACUCGAAACUGGCGGGCUAGAGUAUCGGAGAGGUUGGUGGAAUUCUCGGUGUAGAGGUGAAAUUCGUAGAUAUCGAGAGGAACACCGGUGGCGAAGGCGGCCAACUGGACGAAUACUGACGCUGAGACACGAAAGCGUGGGGAGCAAACAGG
rnacentral:rRNA from 1 species